ensembl:lncRNA
UGUGUUUACUUCGAGUGUGACUUUAAUCAGAUUAAGAUCAUCAGUAAUCUCUGUUUACAUGCUGCUGUCUUAAUCAGAGUCUCGUCUUAAUCGGAUUAAUAUCGGAUUAUCGCCGUGCGUGUAAACGUGCAGACAUUUGAACCUAAUAGUUUUUUACCGUGCUGUGUCAAAUCUAACACUUUAAUGUUAAUAAUAAUGUUAAUGCGGUGAUGAUAAGUAGAAAGUAAUCAUUAGAAGGUGAUUAAAUAGACUGCUUUAUUUACACUUUGAGCAGCAGGUCAGCAGAGACAGAGUCGGCCAUGUGGACGCUACACGCGUCACCCGUUUGUGAAAGGAUUCCAUAAGAAACGUCCCCCAGGGUGUUUGUUUGUUUGUUUGUUUGUUUUACUGUUUAUUGUGCAUUAUUGUGGAAUCACCUGAGAAUCCUCCAUCCAGCUGAGAUUUUGAAUGAAUGAAUGAAUGAAAGGCAGAAAGCAAGCACGGCAGACAGGAAGAAAGAAAGAGGAAGAACGAGAAAGAGUUGACGUGUACAGGUCCACUGAGAGACUCUGAAGUGUACGGCGUUCCCUGUUGGUGUUUUCAGAGUCACAGUUUGUUUGAUGUUCACUGGAACACAUCUGGAGAUACCGAGCUGCUGCGCUGCGCUGAUGUUGUGGGCAUUUUAUGGACUGCAGGUUAAUAAACAUCGAUAUGUUUACACACAGUUUACACACGCAGACCUGUGCUGUUUAACACCGAGCAUUUACACCGCUAAUGAGGGUGUGUGUGUGGGUGUGUGUGUGUGUGUGUGAGCAGCUUAUAACCUACUUUAUAGCCGAUGUGUGGUACACACUCAGAGCUCUACUGUUCAACACACACACACACACACACACACACACACACACACACACACACUCAGAGAUCUGCUGUGUACCCGUACCGAGCUACAUUCAGUCUGUUGUAACAUUUCUGUUAUACAGUGGGCGUGUCCUCGAGUCUGUAGGAUGAUGUGGUGAAGUUUUCUGUACAUUUGCGUAACAUGGAAUAGAGAGAGGGAAUAGAGAGAGAAUAGAGAGAGGGAAUAGAGAGAGAAUAGAGAGAGGGAAUAGAGAGAGAAUAGAGAGAGGGAAUAGAGAGAGGGAAUAGAGAGAGAAUAGAGAGGGAAUAGAGAGAGAAUAGAGAGAGGGAAUAGAGAGAGAAUAGAGAGAGGGAAUAGAGAGAGAAUAGAGAGAGGGAAUAGAGAGAGGGAAUAGAGAGAGAAUAGAGAGAGGGAAUAGAGAGGGAGAAUAAAGAGAAGGUUGGUGAGGGAAUGAGUGUUCAUAGCCGCUAUAACAUAAAUAAGAACAGGAAGUCAUUUCACAGAACAUUAAAUGUAACUAUAAACGCAUAAAAAGUAAUCCUGUCACAUCUGCUGGUUAAUAAAAAAUAUCUAUAAAAAUGACAUGCACUAUAUGAAAGCCAGUGACGCAAGACUUCCAAAUACGGACGCAGAGACCCGCCCACAUCCCCGUCUAUAGUCCUGAAGACACGACCCCACAGAGUCAAAGACCACGCCCCCUCUACACACGAAGAUCUCAUCAUCUAUUAAUCUAUCUCUUAAUGACAAGGCUGAUCCCUUCUACUACGCUGUACACGCUCUGAAAUUGUUUAAUAUCAACAUCAUAAUGAAUAGAGGGAAAUAAAGCAGCAGGUAUGACACGGGAUCAAACGGCUGUAUUGGUUGAAAAUAAACACAUAAAUGUACAUAAACACAUAAACAAAUAAACAAAUAAAACAUAAAUGACAUCAGAUUGUGUUACUGCAGGAGGCGAUAUGACAGUGCUGGUGUCACUACUCACAUCUGGAAUGUCUGCAGCAGUUUAUAAUGUAUAUAUAUAUAUGUUCUCAUUUUCAAACAUGAAAGUAAACAGACGAAUCAGAAAGGAAUGAGAAUGAUGUGGAAGAGUAGAGGCGUGCGGACCGGAACCCGCUGCUCGGCGUUUGCUAAAUAAAGUGAGCAGAAAGUACUGAAAAACACAGACCUAUAUUUUGUACAGUUUUGAGUCAUUUUUUCAAGUUUUGUCUGAAAAAAGCGGAAUGUAAGAAAGAAAAGAAUUUGAAAUAAUGUAUCUGACAUCAACUAAUAAUUACAUUAUAAUAAUAUAGUAAUUAUAAUAUUAUAAUAGCGAUAGAAAAGGGUAUACAGUGACCUAAUCACUCAUUUUUCUUUUACAGGAGCGUGACCUGAAAUAUUUGGAACUCAUCAGUUUGUGAAAAGGGGAGGAGCUUUCACACGGCCGUGGUGAGACAGAAUGUUUCUCCGCCAUUAGGCUCCGCCUCCUUCACGUCUGCGUCCCCGCUCGCUCCCGCCUCCUUUCCUUUCUGCGUCGCUUCUUCGUCAAUGUACAGCAAGGGUUCUUUCUCCUCCCACUUCCCGACCUCGGGUGACCCCGGCCGCCCCACGCCUCCGUUCUCCUCCGAAGGCACGAAAGUGCUGAGCCCCGUCACCUCCCCUCCCCCGUCCGUCUUCUUCUCCUCUCCUUGCACAUCGCCUUCAUCUGGAGCCUCGCAAUCCCCGCCUCCUAAUUCCACGGGCCCCGCCCAGACGUUGUCCUCCGUGCCUUUCUUCUUCUUGGACCUCUGUCCGUUCGUGUAGCCGAAGCUCUGCUUGCCACUUCGCUUCUGCUUGCGUUUGAUGAGGAUGGUGACGCAAAAAAUCGUUAAUAUGCCGAAAAUGACCAACGCUAUGACAGCGAUGAUUAACCAUUUAGUUCCCGUCCUGGACCCUUCACCCUCUGUAGACAGUACAAGGUUCAGGUUGGUGGCCUGCCCCUGGGUAGUGAUGAGGGGGGUGGUGGGCAUGGUGGUGAUGAGGGGGGUGGUGGGCAUGGUGGUGGUGGUGGUGGUGGUGAUGGUGGUGGUGGUGCUAGGUGUGGGCAUGGUUGUUGGAGAAGUGUCGGUGGUCUCCACUUUCUCAACAGAAGCAGGUGUAGGUGUGAAAACUGGUGGUUUUGUGCUUAAGGCUGUUGUAUCAGGGAUGGUUUGAGAUGGGGUCUCAGGAGGCUUAGUGCUGAUGAUGUUUGUCAUAGUGGUCUUCUCCGUCACGGGCUGAGACGUGGGUUCGGAAGGAGCAGCCGGAGUGGUGAGCUCAUUCGUCGUCAUGACGGUCGCAGGAAUGGUUGCAGGCUCUGGAGUCAGAUGCACUGACGUGGUCUGAAGCUCUGAAGUAGUCUGAAGCUCUGGAAUGGACAUCACUGUGCGUCCGUCUGAUGUUUGCGGCACAUUCCCAGUCUCAGUUGUUAGACCUUCAGUGGUGGAGAAGUUGUUGUUAUCAUACUCCAUGUUCUUCAUGGUUGUUUCCUCAGGCUCAGUGGGAGAGUUUUCACCUGAUCUCGAUCCGGUCACCUGCGGGAAGACCGUGCUCUCUUUACUCGGCAUGCUCGUGGACUCCUCUGCGUUCAGGAGCCUGACGUCAGGUCCGAGAGCUAGCGAGAAGACCAGAGAGAUGAAAAGCAGGUACAUCCUGUUUCACUGCAGCACCUCGGUGAAGAGCUUUUUAUUUAUUUUUUGCUUUUUCUUGUACCGCGAUUGGAUAUGUUCGAUUCAGGUACGUGCCGUGAGCUUCAGCAUGUCCCGAAAAUCAUAAACAUCUGCAGCUUUAGUUUCUUCAGCAGAGAUUUAAACACGAUGACUUUUUAUUCAUAACCAUGACAUCUCUUCAUCUCAGUCUCAGUUCUGUUCUUUUCUCCGUGCUGUGGCUGUUCUCUGAGGUUAAACUCGCAUUAAUCUAGGCCGGAAAGACACAACCCUUCUCUUCCUCUUUCUCCCUCCGUCUCGCUCUCUCUCGCGCUCUCGCUCUCUCUCUCUCUCGUUUUCCUGUUCAGUGCACCUGGGGUGUGGUGCAGAAAGUCAAAGAGUUGUGAAAGAAAGAGAGGGAAAAUGAAGAUUAGUUUAGUGUACUCACGCAAAACCAUUUCCUAUCAAACAGAAUCUGAAAAAAAUGAAUAACUUUAUUGUGUUUCGCAAUAAACAUCUAAACUCCCGAAGUGACUGGUUUUCUUACAGUUUAUUCGCUGUUGGAGCUGCAGACUCCACAGAAUUAGUCGACUGAAUGAGGGCUAAAGUUAACAUAAAGUUCAACCGCGCGAACACAGAGUAAUAUGUGCAGUAAGAGUAUUCAAACCAAGCCCACGUUCAGCUCAGUGAAUAUUCAGCAGGUUCUAAGAAGGUCGGGUCAUAACGUUCUAGAAAUAACGUUCAUACAACGUUAUAAAAAACAAACAAACAAACACAAAAACGUCUGCUGUAAUCACAGGAACGUUAUAUAAAGUGUUACAGCAGCGUUGUAGGAACGUUCACGACCGUUAUUUUCAGAACAUUAAGGUUGCAGUAAAGUUAACAGCUUGCAUGGGCUUUAACCCAACGACACGUCUCUACACGUCAUGUUCCAGUCCAUCGCUUUAGAGGAUUCAACACGAGCCCAUCGUUACAUUAAACACCCGAGCAGACAAAAACACACGCCGUCUUUAAACACUUCCACACACUGGAAACCACACUGCUCAUCAACACACUCUCACACACUCUCACACUCUCACACACACUCUCACACACACUCUCACACACUCUCACACACUCUCACACACUCUCACAUACUC